rnacentral:snoRNA from 1 species
GUGCUCACAAGGACGUUCAUCCUGCCGCGUGGCUGAGAUGGGAAAAUGUGAGCUACAUCACAAGUAUUGCCUUGGGAGUGUCCCACUGCAGGCCCCAUGGGACACUACAGUUUUCAAUACAACA